rnacentral:rRNA from 1 species
GAUCCUGGCUCAGGAUGAACGCUAGCUACAGGCUUAACACAUGCAAGUCGAGGGGCAGCAUGACGGAAGCUUGCUUCUGUUGAUGGCGACCGGCGCACGGGUGAGUAACGCGUAUCCAACCUGGCCCUUAGUAGGGGAUAGCCCGGCGAAAGUCGGAUUAAUACCCUAUGUUUUCCAAUGAGGACAUCUGAGCUGGAACAAAGGUUUACCGCUAAGGGAUGGGGAUGCGUCUGAUUAGGUAGUAGGCGGGGUAACGGCCCACCUAGCCGACGAUCAGUAGGGGUUCUGAGAGGAAGUCCCCCCACAUUGGUACUGAGACACGGACCAAACUCCUACGGGAGGCAGCAGUGAGGAAUAUUGGUCAAUGGACGAGAGUCUGAACCAGCCAAGUAGCGUGCAGGAUGAACCUGCCCUAUGGGCUGUAAACUGCUUUUAUGCGGGAAUAAAGUGAGGCACGUGUGCCUUUUUGUAUGUACCGCAUGAAUAAGGACCGGCUAAUUCCGUGCCAGCAGCUGC